AGAUUGAACGCUGGCGGCAGGCCUAACACAUGCAAGUCGAGCGGCAGCACGGGUACUUGUACCUGGUGGCGAGCGGCGGACGGGUGAGUAAUGCCUAGGAAUCUGCCUGAUAGUGGGGGAUAACGUUCGGAAACGGACGCUAAUACCGCAUACGUCCUACGGGAGAAGUGGGGGAUCUUCGGACCUCACGCUAUCAG
rnacentral:rRNA from 1 species